rnacentral:rRNA from 1 species
GACGAACGCUGGCGGCGCGCCUAACACAUGCAAGUCGAACGAGCGAGAGAGAGCUUGCUUUCUCGAGCGAGUGGCGAACGGGUGAGUAACGCGUGAGGAACCUGCCUCAAAGAGGGGGACAACAGUUGGAAACGACUGCUAAUACCGCAUAAGCCCACAGGUCGGCAUCGACCAGAGGGAAAAGGAGCAAUCCGCUUUGAGAUGGCCUCGCGUCCGAUUAGCUAGUUGGUGAGGUAACGGCCCACCAAGGCGACGAUCGGUAGCCGGACUGAGAGGUUGAACGGCCACAUUGGGACUGAGACACGGCCCAGACUCCUACGGGAGGCAGCAGUGGGGAAUAUUGCACAAUGGGGGAAACCCUGAUGCAGCGACGCCGCGUGGAGGAAGAAGGUCUUCGGAUUGUAAACUCCUGUUGUUGAGGAAGAUAAUGACGGUACUCAACAAGGAAGUGACGGCUAACUACGUGCCAGCAGCCGCGGUAAAACGUAGGUCACAAGCGUUGUCCGGAAUUACUGGGUGUAAAGGGAGCGCAGGCGGGAAGACAAGUUGGAAGUGAAAUCCAUGGGCUCAACCCAUGAACUGCUUUCAAAACUGUUUUUCUUGAGUAGUGCAGAGGUAGGCGGAAUUCCCGAUGUAGCGGUGGAAUGCGUAGAUAUCGGGAGGAACACCAGUGGCGAAGGCGGCCUACUGGGCACCAACUGACGCUGAGGCUCGAAAAGUGUGGGUAGCAAAACAGGAUUAGAUACCCUGGUAGUCCACACCGUAAACGAUGAUUACUAGGUGUUGGAGGAUUGACCCCUUCAGUGCCGCAGUUAACACAAUAAGUAAUCCACCUGGGGAGUACGACCGCAAGGUUGAAACUCAAAGGAAUUGACGGGGGCCCGCACAAGCAGUGGAGUAUGUGGUUUAAUUCGACGCAACGCGAAGAACCUUACCAAGUCUUGACAUCCUGCGACGGUGCUGGAAACAGUACUUUCCUUCGGGACGCAGAGACAGGUGGUGCAUGGUUGUCGUCAGCUCGUGUCGUGAGAUGUUGGGUUAAGUCCCGCAACGAGCGCAACCCUUAUGGUCAGUUACUACGCAAGAGGACUCUGGCCAGACUGCCGUUGACAAAACGGAGGAAGGUGGGGAUGACGUCAAAUCAUCAUGCCCUUUAUGACUUGGGCUACACACGUACUACAAUGGCGUUAAACAAAGAGAAGCAAGACCGCGAGGUGGUGCAAAACUCAGAAACAACGUCCCAGUUCGGACUGCAGGCUGCAAACUCGCCUGCACGAAAGUCGGAAUUGCUAGUAAUCGUGGAAUCAGCAUGCCACGGUGAAUACGUUCCCGGGCCU